AUACCUUGUAAUGGGCACUUCCUGAGUAGCUCCUUAAAACGUUCUCAUGCCGCAUAAACUGACUCUCCAUCAUUUGAUGAAAAGAGGUAAUGUCAUUUCUGAACUU
rfam:Morus notabilis contig16894, whole genome shotgun sequence.